UACAGAGGAUGCAAGCGUUAUCCGGAAUGAUUGGGCGUAAAGCGUCUGUAGGUGGCUUUUUAAGUCCGCCGUCAAAUCCCAGGGCUCAACUCUGGACAGGCGGUGGAAACUACCAAGCUGGAGUACGGUAGGGGCAGAGGGAAUUCCCGGUGUAGCGGUGAAAUGCGCAGAUAUCGGGAAGAACACCCGUGGCGAAGGCGGCACUCUGGGACGGUACUGACGCUGAGACGCGAAAGCGUGGGGAGCGAACAGG
rnacentral:rRNA from 1 species